UUGACGGUAGGAAAACAACGUUUCUGAUAUGGAGUGAGACCCCUGCACUCCCCUGACAGUACGACUCCCCCUCCACAGUAAGCAGCCGUGCCUUUACCAGUUGAGACCCUCUGGGACCGCUGCACUCCUCUGACUGUAUGACUCACCCUGCACAACUUGCGGCCAUACCUUUACCAGAUGAGACACUCUGGAACCCCUGCAUUCCCCUGACUAUACGACUCACCCUGCACACUAUGCGCCCGUGCCUUUACCAGGACCUUGCUCAUGAAUGCAAGUCCUUAAUUUUAAACUUUGAAAACAAUGUGGGCAAAGUCCAAUCCAAUGGUGUGGUUCUCAUGGCUAGUGGUUUUACUUUGUCAAGCCUUAUGAUUCAGCAUCAAGAGCAAGGAAGAAGAAAGACACUCAAGGGUUUGGUGAUGAAAGCCGAGGCCCAACUACAGGUGACAACAUCUGGAAGUUUUUAUGGAGUCUCCGAUAUUUCUGAAUCUUAAUUGCCUUGUGGAACGACUUAAUGAUGUUUUGCAUGAUACUUGCCGGACGGCGAAACAAACAGUAAAUAAUAUGCUGGUUGUUUGGAUCAUAAGAAGUAGAGGAGCGUAGAAAACAUCAAACUAACCACGUAGAUCAUUAUUUAAGCUAGAAAUGUUUUUUAUUCUUAAGAAUUUAUGGACGUGGGGCUAGUUAAGGUUCUACCCGCAUUUGUUGGGAUUUAUAUUCAUAAUUCUUUCCAAUGGUACAUACAGUGGCUCUCAAAAGUAUUCACCCUCCUUGGAC